rfam:Cajanus cajan CcLG06_514, whole genome shotgun sequence.
CUGUCUCCUGGAGUUCCUCUGAACGCUUCAUGUGAGGGGCUACCUUGUGUAAAAAAACAUUAUCACCCUUCUUAAAUGAAGUGUUUGGGGGAACUCUUGGGUUCAA